UACGAAGGGGGCGAGCGUUGUUCGGAUUUACUGGGCGUAAAGGGCGCGCAGGCGGCUCAUUUUGUCAGGCGUGAAAGCCCCGGGCUUAACCUGGGAACUGCGUUUGAGACGGAUGGGCUAGAGUUCGGGAGAGGAGAGUGGAAUUCCCAGUGUAGAGGUGAAAUUCGUAGAUAUUGGGAAGAACACCGGUGGCGAAGGCGGCUCUCUGGGACGGUACUGACGCUGAGACGCGAAAGCGUGGGGAGCGAACAGG
rnacentral:rRNA from 1 species